rnacentral:rRNA from 1 species
CGCAAUCGACGAUAGUCUGACGGAGCAACGGCGCGUGAGUGAUGAAUGUUUUCGGAUCGUAAGUUCUGUUAUAGAGAAGAACAAGUACCGUUAGAAUAGGGCGGCACCUUGACGGUACUAACCAGAAAGCCACGGCUAACUACGUGCCAGCAGCCGCGGUAAUAUGUAGGUGGCAAGCGUUGUCCGGAAUUAUUGGGCGUAAAGCGCUCGCAGGCGGUUUCUUAAGUCUGAUGUGAAAGCCCCCGGCUCAACCGGGGAGGGUCAUUGGAAACUGGGGAACUUGAGUGCAGAAGAGGAGAGUGGAAUUCCACGUGUAGCGGUGAAAUGCGUAGAGAUGUGGAGGAACACCAGUGGCGAAGGCGACUCUCUGGUCUGUAACUGACGCUGAGGAGCGAAAGCGUGGGGAGCGAACAGGAUUAGAUACCCUGGUAGUCCACGCCGUAAACGAUGAGUGCUAAGUGUUAGGGGGUUUCCGCCCCUUAGUGCUGCAGCUAACGCAUUAAGCACUCCGCCUGGGGAGUACGGUCGCAAGACUGAAACUCAAAGGAAUUGACGGGGGCCCGCACAAGCGGUGGAGCAUGUGGUUUAAUUCGAAGCAACGCGAAGAACCUUACCAGGUCUUGACAUCCUCUGACAAUCCUAGAGAUAGGACGUCCCCUUCGGGGGCAGAGUGACAGGUGGUGCAUGGUUGUCGUCAGCUCGUGUCGUGAGAUGUUGGGUUAAGUCCCGCAACGAGCGCAACCCUUGAUCUUAGUUGCCAGCAUUCAGUUGGGCACUCUAAGGUGACUGCCGGUGACAAACCGGAGGAAGGUGGGGAUGACGUCAAAUCAUCAUGCCCCUUAUGACCUGGGCUACACACGUGCUACAAUGGACAGAACAAAGGGCAGCGAAACCGCGAGGUUAAGCCAAUCCCACAAAUCUGUUCUCAGUUCGGAUCGCAGUCUGCAACUCGACUGCGUGAAGCUGGAAUCGCCAGUAACCGCGCACACAGUUAAAUAGGACGGC